rnacentral:rRNA from 1 species
GACGAACGCUGGCGGCGUGGAUUAGGCAUGCAAGUCGAACGGUAUCAUCCUUUCGGGGGUGAGAGAGUGGCGAACUGGUGAGUAACACGUAGGUUAUCUACCCUCAAGACGGGGACAACCCAGGGAAACUUGGGCUAAUACCGGAUGUGAGCAACUUUUAGUUGUUUGAAAGGUGGCGUAAGCUGUCGCUUGGGGAUGAGCCUGCGUCCUAUUAGUUAGUUGGUGAGGUAACGGCUCACCUAGGCAAUGAUAGGUAGGCGGCCUUAACGGGUGGUCGCCCACACUGGGAUUGAGAUACGGCCCAGACUCCUACGGGAGGCAGCAGUCGAGAAUAGUCUACAAUGGUCGGAAGACUGAUAGUGCGACGCCGCGUGAACGAUGAAUCCCUUCGGGGUGUAAAGUUCUUUUCUAUACGAGCAGUGCUAUAUAUAUGGAUAGUAUAUAUAGAGGGAUAGUAGUAUAGGAAUAAGCAACGGCUAACUCCGUGCCCAGCAGCCCGCGGUAAAAUCACG